CAUCGAUGUCGUACGUGAACUGAUAAUGCAAGACCGUCAUGUAACAUAACCUGGCCGUAAAAAAGGUUUGUUCUCGUUGGAUAUCGCACAAUUUGACUAUCGCUCAAAAAAAGGCUCGUGUGGAUUGGUGUAAAGAAAUGCUGAAAAAAUACGAUUGCGGUGUUUCAGAAGAUGUUUAUAAGAUCGUCACAGGUGACGAAUCAUGGAUCUAUGCGUAUGCGCCCGAAACAAAACAGCAAUCGACCGAAAAAAAACCAUUUUCGUUGAUAAAUAUUCGUAUUUUCAUUAUUAGGUCAGAAAUAUAUAUAGCAGUCCUCGUAUAUGCUCGAUUGGAUUGAAGUUUGGUGACUGUGGUAGAUAUGGAAGAACAUGUAUAGUACUAUAUGCAAGCCACAUACUUACGUCGAGGUUGCAACUUUUGUUGGAGACAUCAAGGAAUUUAUUACGGGAUUCGCAAUCGGAUUAAUAACUGAUGAGUUAACGGUACUGCACACGUCAGUCAAAGCUUGGAGUUGUGUAUGAUGUAUAGGUAUUGUUCGCUCACGAAGCACUUCCAAGCAAAUGGUUCCCUGUUUCUUUGGAAAAACGACUAUACCACUAGAUUAACGCAGAACAGUGAAUUCUGAGUGUUACACAACCAUUUGUAUGCAGUUGUCUUUCAAGAAAUCAGAAAAUCCAACCUCCGAAGAACUAUCAAUAUUCACCACGACAAUGCGAGCUCUCACUCAUCGACUGAAACAAUGGCAUUUUUGAGCACUCAAAGCACCAAUUUGAUGAGUCAUCCACCGUAUAGACCUGACUUGACACCAAAUGACUUCUUUUUAUUCCCGAAAGUAAAAAAUAAAUUAAGACGUCAACGUUUUUCGACACCUUAAGAAGCGGUUAUACGUUCAGAACGGGAACAAGAAAUCUUAAUGGAGAAUAUUUUUAAAAACAUUAAAGCGAUUUUCGAUUAUUAACAUUUCUUGUUGUUCUCUAAGCCCGAAAUAUAAAAGCAACCCCCGUACGUACGUAUACUUGUAUAUAAAGUAUAGCUGCUAAACGCUUAAGGAGUAAUCUUUUAGAGAUUCUAGAAAAUUAUGUGUAACUACAAUACAUAUAUUUAUAUUUAUGUAGGUAUGAUUCAAGUUCAUUGACGCCAGAAAAUAUUUAAAAUAAUUCACCACAAUCAUAACAUUUAAUUAAUUACUUAAUUACUUAAAAUAAUAUUAUCUGCGUCAAUCUUUAUUCACAGUUUUAUUUAUUGGUAGAGACACGGACAUGUAUUUGGAGCCCCACUCGUAUCAGUUGUGAGAAUUGAGCUCUCCUUUCAAUGUACUAAGUAACUGUUCAUAUGAGUAUUGCGACAAUAUAGAUAUCUACCAAAAUAGGUCUCCAAAGUAUGUCUCCAUAUGACACUUACAGAGAUAAACAUGUUUGUAUGUUAUAAAAUAAGGAAAUGAUAUAUUACGGAUAAUUAAUGUCUACACUAGAUUAUAUAAAAAGGAUAAUUACAACAUCCCUAUUACGCAACUACGAUUGCGAUAAUAUCGCUUCCAGAAUACUUAAUUGGACAUUACGCUAGAAUAUCGUCUAGGUACCGCUAUCAAUUGCAGGGCCGUAAAGAGAAAACCGGGACCCGGGAACGAUUGUAGUGACUUGUUGGAGAAAGAAUUGCUACAGAGCACCGGGCCCGAAAGGAAUUGUCCCCGAUCUCCCUCCCCUCUUUCCUUCACUGAUCGAAUACUAUCAACCCUCAUACUAAGUAGAAUUGUCAAUAUCUGAAAAUUGCUCAAGAGCAGUUGUCAACAUUAUUUUAGAGUUUGAAUGCAUUGAAAAACUUUAAAUAAAAUAUGUGUACUUAUUUUUUAUUUAUAAAAAAUUGAUCUUCAAAGAAAUCGCUGCUCUUUAAACACUAUAGAAAUUUGGUGUAAUAUUAUAUUUACUUUCACAAUUUUUUGUUGUGAACCUUGUUUUUUAAAAUUUAAAUUACCUCUUUUUUGAACUUUAAAUGCAAAUAUCUCAAAAACCAUAAGUCAACAAAGAAAUAGCAUUACUGGCUCCACAUUUUUUUUUUCAAGUUGGUACAUCUGUCGUGAAAACACAUGCAAAGCUACAAGUCAUUCUGUCAAUUCUUUGUUGACAAGUCAUUUGAAGUUGACGUGUCAUAGUAUUUUUUUAAAUUGGAAACAUUGAAUAUUGUGCAGUGAUUAAAUUCUUUAUUUUGAAAGGUUUAAAAGCAAAGGAAAUUUUUGUACAAUUGUUAAAAGUGUAUAAGGACUCCUCGCCUUCAAUACGCACCGUUGAAUUUUGGGCUAGUUAAUUUAAACGUGGUCGUACUAGGCUUGAAGACGCUUUUAAGCAGAAUAAACCCGAAUUCUCGCGGCCUUUUAUAACUAUA